rnacentral:rRNA from 1 species
CCUACGGGAGGCAGCAGUGAGGAAUAUUGGUCAAUGGCCGCAGGGCUGAACCAGCCAAGUCGCGUGAGGGAUGACGGUCCUAUGGAUUGUAAACCUCUUUUGUCAGGGAGCAAAGGGCGCCACGUGUGGCGCUUUGCGAGUACCUGAAGAAAAAGCAUCGGCAAACCCCGUGCCAGCAGCCGCGGUAAUACGGAGGAUGCGAGCGUUAUCCGGAUUUAUUGGGUUUAAAGGGUGCGCAGGCGGAAUGUCAAGUCAGCGGUAAAAUUUCGGGGCUCAACCCCGUCGUGCCGUUGAAACUGGCGUUCUUGAGUGAGCGAGAAGUAUGCGGAAUGCGUGGUGUAGCGGUGAAAUGCAUAGAUAUCACGCAGAACUCCGAUUGCGAAGGCAGCAUACCGGCGCUCAACUGACGCUCAUGCACGAAGGCGUGGGUAUCGAACAGGAUUAGAUACCCGAGUAGUC